CUGCUCAUGUAAGAGAAAGCCGAGCUUACUCAAAUGCUCCAUCAGCUCGAUCAUGUACAAUACAUGAUCAGUGACAGAGACACCAUCCUGUAUUUUGGCAUUGAAGAUGGCACAACUAAUCUUGUGCCUCUCCACAUCAUCGAGUGUGCCAAAGGCAUCCUUCAACACUUGAAGCAUGUCUUUUGGCUAAGCCAUCUCAAAUUUGUGACUAAACUCAUCGCUCAUGGCAGCCAGCAUGAUGUAGCGCACCAUGGUUCGAUCACUGAGCCACUUCUGGU
rnacentral:lncRNA from 1 species